rnacentral:rRNA from 1 species
AUUGAACGCUGGCGGAAUGCUUUACACAUGCAAGUCGAACGGCAGCACGGGUGCUUGCACCUGGUGGCGAGUGGCGAACGGGUGAGUAAUGCACCGGAACGUACCCAGUAAUGGGGGAUAACUAUCCGAAAGGAUAGCUAAUACCGCAUACGCCCUGAGGGGGAAAGCGGGGGAUCGUAAGACCUCGCGUUAUUGGAGCGGCCGAUGCCGGAUUAGCUAGUUGGUGGGGUAAAGGCCCACCAAGGCGACGAUCCGUAGCUGGUCUGAGAGGACGACCAGCCACACUGGAACUGAGACACGGUCCAGACUCCUACGGGAGGCAGCAGUGGGGAAUUUUGGACAAUGGGCGAAAGCCUGAUCCAGCCAUUCCGCGUGAGUGAAGAAGGCCUUCGGGUUGUAAAGCUCUUUCGCAAGGAAAUAAAACUUACUUACUAAUACUAGGUGAGGUUGACGGUACCUUGAUAAGAAGCACCGGCUAACUACGUGCCAGCAGCCGCCGUAA